CAAUAGCGUAUAUUAACGUUGUUGCAGUUAAAAAGCUCGUAGUUGGAUUUCUGGAGGGAGCGUCGGCCCAUAUUUACGAGUGCGUGACGUCUCUGUCCAUCCUUGCGGGAAGGCACGGCAUUGAUUUGUUGUGUCGGAUCGCAUCAUUUACUGUGAAAAAAUUAGAGUGUUCAAAGCAGGCUUUCGCUUGAAUACAUUAGCAUGGAAUAAUAAGAUAGGACUUUGGUGCUAUUUUGUUGGUUGAGCCUAAAGUAAUGAUUAAUAGGGAUAGUUGGGGGCACCUGUAUUGCGUUGUCAGAGGUGAAAUUCUUGGAUUUACGCAAGACAAACAGCUGCGAAAGCGUCUGCCAAGGAUGUUUUCAUUAA
rnacentral:rRNA from 1 species